UAAUACGUAGGCAGCAAGCGUUGUUCGGAAUUACUGGGCGUAAAGAGUGUGUAGGCGGCCGACUAAGUCUGGUGUGAAAUCUCCCUGGCUCAACCGGGAGGGUGCGCCGGAAACUGGUCUGCUCGAGCGUGGGCGAGGAAAGCGGAAUUCCUGGUGUAGCGGUGAAAUGCGUAGAGAUCAGGAGGAACACCAGCGGUGUAGACGGCUUUCUGGGCCAUGGCUGACGCUGAGACACGAAAGCGCGGGGAGCAAACAGGAUUAGAUACCCUGGUAGUCCGCGCCCUAAACGAUGCCGACUUGGUGUCGGCCCUUCAGUGGGCCGGUGCCGGAGCUAACGCGUUAAGUCGGCCGCCUGGGGAGUACGGUCGCAAGGCU
rnacentral:rRNA from 1 species